AGAGUUUGAUCAUGGCUCAGGAUGNNNNCUAGCGGCAGGCUUAAUACAUGCAAGUCGAGGGGCAGCACAGGUAGCAAUACUGGGUGGCGACCGGCAAACGGGUGCGGAACACGUACGCAACCUUCCCAAAACAGGUGAAUAGCCCUCCGAAAGAGGAUUAAUACACCGUAACAUAAUUAAGUGGCAUCACUUGAUUAUUAUAGAUAGCAAUAUCGGUUUUGGAUGGGCGUGCGCCUGAUUAGGUAGUUGGUAGGGUAACGGCCUACCAAGCCUUCGAUCAGUAACUGGUGUGAGAGCACGACCAGUCACACGGGCACUGAGACACGGGCCCGACUCCUACGGGAGGCAGCAGUAAGGAAUAUUGGUCAAUGGACGCAAGUCUGAACCAGCCAUGCCGCGUGAAGGAUGAAGGCCCUCUGGGUUGUAAACUUCUUUUAUCUGGGACGAAAAAAGGGGAUUCUUCCUCACUUGACGGUACCAGAGGAAUAAGCACCGGCUAACUCCGUGCCAGCAGCCGCGGUAAUACGGAGGGUGCAAGCGUUAUCCGGAUUUACUGGGUUUAAAGGGUGCGUAGGUGGGUAGGAAAGUCAGUGGUGAAAUCUUCGGGCUUAACCCGGAAACUGCCAUUGAUACUAUUUAUCUUGAAUACUUUGGAGGUAAGCGGAAUAUGUCAUGUAGCGGUGAAAUGCUUAGAUAUGACAUAGAACACCAAUUGCGAAGGCAGCUUACUACACAGUUAUUGACACUGAGGCACGAAAGCGUGGGGAUCAAACAGGAUUAGAUACCCUAGUAGUCC
rnacentral:rRNA from 1 species